AUACGAAGGGGGCUAGCGUUGUUCGGAAUUACUGGGCGUAAAGCGCACGUAGGCGGAUUGUUUAGUGAGGGGUGAAAUCCCAGGGCUCAACCCUGGAACUGCCUCUCAUACUGGCAGUCUCGAGUCCGGAAGAGGUGAGUGGAAUUCCGAGUGUAGAGGUGAAAUUCGUAGAUAUUCGGAGGAACACCAGUGGCGAAGGCGGCUCACUGGUCCGGUACUGACGCUGAGGUGCGAAAGCGGUGGGGAGAC
rnacentral:rRNA from 1 species